rnacentral:lncRNA from 10 species
UUAUUUGAAGAUAUAAUGGCCUAAAACAUUCCACAUUUGAUUUUAAAAAUUAAUGCGCCCUUCCAAGUUGCUCAAUAAACUCUACAUGGAAUAAACCCAAAGACAUGAUACCAGAUACAUCACAAUCAAACUACUAAAAGAAAAAGACAAUAAAACAUCAUGAAAAGUACAAGAGAAAUAUGAUUUAUUACAUAAAGGUAUCCUCAAAAAGAUUAAUAGCUGAUAUUUCAUUAGAAAUCAAGAAGACUUUAAGUCACUGAAAUGACAUAGUCAAAGCAUUGAAAGAAAAAGACUGUUAACCUAGAGUUUGACAUUCAGCAAAACUAUCUUUUAAAAGUGAAGAAACUUCAGUCUACCAAGAUAUAAUAAUACCAUUUCUCCCAGGUUUUUCUCUUUACAAUUAAAAAUGCCCUGGACAUAACACAGUAAAUAAACAUUAAAUGUCAGAAGUCUGCCUAAGUACCUAAUUAUUACCUGAGUACUCACUGCAAGAAACAAAAUUACAGUGAGUUUCCUGUUUUGUUUAUUUCUUCCCAUACAUCCUUGAGAGGGCGCUGCAGAAGACACCAACACAAGUGGUAACAGGAAUUGGGAAAUAAACAGCAGCAGCAAUAACAACAACGAAACUACAAGAAAAACUCAUUCCCUUUGUGAAAAACAUGACCUAACAACAGAACACACAUUUUUGACAAUACUCAUUUAUAUCUUUAGCCAAAUCCUGGUUGAAAAAUUUCAUAACCUACUCUACACAGUUUCACUAGGCCUAACAACAAAUUGAUCUUCCACCCCACACCCUUCACUUCCUAUGGAAGCAAGUAGUGCAAUCAAUUCCUCUGCUGGAUGGUGUUUGUAAGGUUAAAAGGGAGCUAAUCAUUCAUCCCCUGGUGGGAGGAAGCAAACAGUCCUUCUCUCCCCCCACUUGAGCAGUGUUAGCACUUUGAGCAGGGAGCUGCACCACCUGGGUGAAGCAGGCAGUGCUCUGAUUCCUUUAGCAGGUAGUGUCAGUGUGGUCCAUUGGCAAACUGAGACCCACUCCCACACACUAGCAGUAAGACUUAAUGAGGUAAUGAGAGAUGGAACUAGUCACCAUUAGGCUUCACUCCCACUCCAUGUCAAUGAGGUUCAGUGAGACAGUGGAAGUUUCCCUUCCAAACCUCUCUGUCAUCAACAAGGCUGAAAAAAGAGGAGCAAGACAGGACUAAAAAUCACUUCACAUUCCCCUUAUCCCUAGUGUUAUCAAGGCCCAGUGGGAGAAAUAAAGACCCACAUCAAAUUGGUGGCAAUGAGACUGAAACAGGACUAAUUGGACCCCCUAUUUUCCCUUCCCCUGUUAGCAGGGCCAGUGGGGAGUACUGGCUCCACUUCCGCCUGACAUCAGUGAAUAAAAAUACAGUGGUGUGAUUAGCAUUCUUCUCUUCCUCCCUCUGCUAUCAGCAAUGUUCAGUAGGAACUUGAGACUUCACACUCACCUUGGGGAUCUUGUCCAGGCCAGGGAAGAGGACUGCUGUCUCUGAUGGUGAAGUUCUGGCAUCAGAAAUACUUUGGUGUGCCACUCUGGACUGCCCUCACUUUGGGGAAUGCAAUCUGGUAAGACAGUUUUCUCUUGAUUUAUCUUUUAUUUAAAAUGGUCCCUCGGUUUCUUUUUCUUUCUUCGUCCUCCUCUUCCUUUACUCAGUUCUCCAAUCCUCCUCCUUCUUCAUCUUAAUACAUGCACUAUUAGAAAUGUCAGGCCGGGCGCCGUGGCUCACGCCUGUAAUCCCAGCACUUUGGGAGGCCGAGGCGGGCGGGUCACGAGGUCAGGAGAUAGAGACCAUCCUGGCUAACACGGUGAAACCCCGUGUCCACUAAAAAUACAAAAAAUUAGCCGGGCGUGGCGGCGGGCGCCUGUAGUCCCAGCUACAGCUACUCGGGAGGCUGAGGCAGGAGAAUGGCGUCAACCCGGGAGGCGGAGCUUGCAGUGAGCGGAAAUCGCGCCACUGCACUCCAGCCUGGGAGACAGGGA